CUUGACGGAGCCCAGCCACAGCGGCCGGUCGGCGGGUCGGCGCUGCCCGUACGUGGCCAGCAGGGCGUGGGCUUC
rnacentral:antisense_RNA from 1 species